rnacentral:rRNA from 1 species
UACGUAGGGGGCAAGCGUUAUCCGGAUUCACUGGGCGUAAAGGGAGCGUAGACGGCCAUGCAAGCCAGGGGUGAAAGCCCGGGGCCCAACCCCGGGACUGCCCUUGGAACUGUGCGGCUAGAGUGCGGGAGGGGCAGGCAGAAUUCCUGGUGUAGCGGUGAAAUGCGUAGAUAUCAGGAGGAGCACCGGCGGCGAAGGCGGCCUGCUGGACCGCGACUGACGUUGAGGCUCGAAAGCGUGGGGAGCAAACAGG